AGUUAGGUGGCUGAUAAAAGCGUUAAAUUGUAAAUUUAAUUAUAGAAUUAUUCUCCUUAUUA
rnacentral:tRNA from 1 species